GGACAUACCAAAAAUAUUUUUUCUCCCAGAAAUGUUUUUGAUAAACAGUCGAAAAUUAAAUUUGCCGAAUUCUUAAUUAUUAUUUUUUUAAUUUACUAAUUUAAUCAUAAUUAUUUCAAUUUUAUUAUUCAAUUAAACAACUUUACCUCCCCUUAAAGCUAUUUAAUAAAAUAUUAAAUUAAUUUAAUUAAUUACUACAAAUUAAAAUGAUUACUAAUAUUAAGUAUACUACACAAAUGAAACCUUCACCUAAAAAAUUAUAUACAAGAUUAUCCCUGCACAAAUAUGAAAAUUAAACAAAAUAAAUUCAAUUGAUUAAAUCAAAAAUAAAGCAACUAGAUAUAAAAAAUCUAAAUUUAUAUCAAACCCACAUUACUUUUAACUUAUUUUUUUACACAAAUAAAAUUAAGUAAUAUAAAUAUUUUUUAUUCGAGAAAAAAUUCUAAAAUAUAUAUUUAAAUUAACCCUGAUACAAAAGGUAAAAUUAUUUGAUCUUCUAUUCUUCUAUACUUCUACCCUUACAGUUAACAAAAAAAAUUAUUUCACUAAUCCAUUAAUUUAAAUUAAAUAAAAAGU
rnacentral:rRNA from 1 species